rnacentral:antisense_RNA from 1 species
CGUUCUCUUUUGUCUCCGCUUUUUUUUCACAUUUCCUUGCGCCCCUGGCCCUUGAGCGACAAAAAGGGGAAGCCAAGGCUGGCCCGAGGAACGGAGAGGGCACAUGGCCUAGCCACGAGUGGAGCUUCUGCUCCGCCCGAAGGGAUGCGCUGGAGCGGCCUCUUCCUUCUGCCACGGUCUUUCUUUGCCAACUAGUAGGUGGAGACUGGACCUCAGAAGAGGGAGUGGGUGCCCCGAGAACUCACAGCUAGUGGACAGCGGAAAGGGCAGGAGCCGGACCAAGGUGAGGACAGCGGAACUGAAGGCCGCUGGUUACCUCUCCUGCCCUCUGCUGGCCACAGUGGAGAAGACAGCCCCUCCCUCCUGCUCUGACCUGACAGUGUUCAUCCAUCGCCCUGUAUUAGCGAAGAACAACAUCAAGCUGGCUAGCAAGGAACUGUAUACAGGGUCCAGCUGGGUAUCACACUGGAUCUCACCCAAAGCUGAGAUGUGAUCCAGCUCCGUAUCACAAAGCAGAACGAAAAGGAUGUGUUUGGGCUGAGAGGCCAUACAUUGGUAAGUGGCACAUGAACUGUAUUUUCUAUUGAGCAUUGCUGGUAUAUGGCAAAUUUGCAUAAAAUUAUAUUGAAAUUGA